AAUGGGGGAAACCCUGAUCCAGCGACGCCGCGUGAGUGAUGAAGGCCUUCGGGUCGUAAAGCUCUUUUAGUGGGGAAGAAGGGGCAACCUUGACUGUACCCACAGAAAAAGCACCGGCUAACUCUGUGCCAGCAGCCGCGGUAAUACAGAGGGUGCAAGCGUUGUUCGGAAUUAUUGGGCGUAAAGCGCGUGUAGGCGGCCAUCUAAGUCUGGUGUGAAAUCCCUCGGCUCAACCGAGGAAGUGCAUUGGAUACUGGACGGCUAGAGGAUGAGAGAGGUGAAUGGAAUUCCCGGUGUAGGGGUGAAAUCCGUAGAUAUCGGGAGGAACACCAGAGGCGAAGGCGGUUCACUGGCUCAUUUCUGACGCUGAGACGCGAAAGCGUGGGGAGCAAA
rnacentral:rRNA from 1 species